rnacentral:snRNA from 1 species
GGAAGUGAGGGUGAUCUCGCUGUGACAGCUGUUACCCCACUGAUCCCCAGAGUUGAUUCGGCUAAUCUCACUGGCUAGGCGGUGUCCCCUUUCUCCUUCACCGUUCCAGGUGCGUCCCUCUGGAAGCUGCACACGCUGCCGCAGAGGAUGGCCUUCCCCAAUCGGAGGAGGAGCAGUCUACGGCCGAGGGCACACGAGUAGCUCUCCUGCCAGAACCUCCAGACAAACUCGCAAAUAAAUCCUAAUUAUGGAUUUGUUGUUGUUGUUU